AAUAUGGAAAAAAUCAAUUCAGUUCCUUCUAUAAAUCUCCCCCUCCCCAUCUUCAUAUCUGGCUUGCCCUAGGUGUGGUUCCGGUCCAUUGCGCUAAUUGAGCUCGCAUUUUUCUCCCUAGCUAGCAUAAAUCUCAGGUCUCCAAGCUUCGUCCAUCCUCAUUGCGGUUUCAGUUCACCUGUAUCGCUGUAUUUUCUCAUUAUUGGAUCCAAGGUGGAAGAUUCAAAUUUGUGAUUUUGGAGGUAUUUUUGUGAGUACAUUUAUUGUAAGAGAUAUCUUCUUCGAUUUGUUUAGCUGGUUGAGUCUAUCAGCCAAAUAUGAGGGAUAAUAUAGUAGUAGGCCGUGAAUACAUGGGUGAGUGGGUGCAGACUGUAAAAUACUGAAAUUGGCAGUCUAAAUCGAAGGUGGCAUUAGUUGUUGUCGUGCCUUAUAUCUAUUCUUUUAACGAGUUGGUUGAGAGCGUAAUUAAAUGUGGUUAGUUAAGAUGUGAACUUUAUAAUGUUUUAAUUAGCUUAUGACUAAUUUUGUUCCUAGUAAGGUGAAAGUUGUCUCUUCUUUCAUAAAAAAUGAUCAACAUGUGGGACUGUAUUUUUUUGAUAUUGCUAAUGGUGGUGCUAGGCCUAUUCUAAGGAUAAACGUGGUUGAGAGGUCUCAACAACCUUCAACAGCACCACCACUUUCACAACCACAACUAUUAGUUGAUACAAAAAUAAUGUGUAAUGAAGGAUGUAAUGAUUAAUAAUGUUCAUGGAAUUGGAUGAUAAUAGAGAAUAUCCAAUGAAUAUGGAUAUUCCAGCAGACGAUUAACACAAUGUUCAGAGCAUCAUAGCGUCGUUGGUAGACGUGUUGCUCUAGAACACAAGACAGUCAUGGUUAUUUUGAUAAAACUGUUUUUUUCAUGAGAAAACAUUCAAGAAGCAUGAGUUAGUUGGGAGAUUAAAGCUAGGCACCAUGAAGAAGACCUUUAGCUUCUAUAUAAAGAAGAGUAAUAAACCAUUGAAUGUAGUGGCAUGUGAGGUUGAAAAUUGCAAGUGGAUACGGCGCGUAAGAAAGUACGUUAAAGGGGAUAGACUCUAUAUUAUUAAGUAUAAAAUCGAGCACACUUGCGGUGUUCAAAAUCUCAAGAGCGAACAUCGCAUGCGUCAGCUUUUGUCAUUGUUGGAUUUUUGAUAAAUGACUUUGCUGAUGGCAAAGGGCCAUCGAUUAAAAAAUUUGGGAAUAUUUUGUAAUCAUUUGCAUUGUGAGGUGAGCUAUUGGAAGUGCUGGAAUAGGGUGUUCUUGCUAAAAACAUUAACAAGGGGGGCACCUGAGAAUAGAUAUGCUAUUUAAAUUGCAUAUCAUUACGUGCUUGAAAAAUAAAAAUCGAGCUAGUAAGACUGUAUUGAAACUUGAUGCGGAGGGGAGGUUCCUAUAUAUUUUCGUAGCUUAUGGAGCUUGCGUUAGAGGAUUUAUGAACAUAAGAAAGGUUUUAGCUGUUGAUUUUACCUUUUUAACAGGCAAGUAUGUUGGUGUCCCGUUGACUGUGGUGGGACAGGAUACUGAGCACUAUAUCCAUCAAGUGGCAUUUUGUGUUGUGGACAAGAAGUGCGAUGACUCAUGGUCUUUCCUUUUCGAGCAAUUGAAGCCCGUAGUUGAGGAUGAUUGAAAGUUGUGCAUAAUCUCUGACAUGCAUCUUUGCAUAACCAAUAAAAGUUUUGGGGUUUAUAAGCAUGCUCUAUUAGGAUAGAGUCCAAGUCUACGUAAAUCUCUCAUUCAAGAUAGAAUUCAAGCCUACGUAGAUCUCUCAUUCGGUUAUUUAGUUUGAAUACAUUUGAAUUGUAUUCUUCAAUUAUCUCUUAGAUUUUAUAAUACACUAGGAGUUGUAUUUUUAAAGUGUCUCUGAAGCGUAGAUAUAUAGGAGGAACUCCUCCUCUGUAUCGUGAUUAAUAUUAAAAAUACUCCAAGUUUCUUUAA